rnacentral:lncRNA from 1 species
UUUUUCUUGGGUUUUCGUUACCGAAAUCGAUCGGUUCGCCGUCUCCUCUCAUGGCGGAGGCCGUCGAGGCGCCCGCCGAUCCUCAGUCGGAGCCGCGUGAGAGCCCUCGCGAUGGAUCCCCCUCUCAGCUGCCGCCGCCGCCGCCGCCUCCUAGGAGGGACGGGGACUCGAGGGAUAGGAAGGGCGACUGGCCCCCGAGCCGGCGCGAGGACCACCACGAUUCCAGAAGCAGCUCGCCACCUCUCCCCCCGCCUCCGGCGUCGGGGCGGCCAAGGGGCGAGAAGGAUCGGGAGUACCGUAGGCGGAG